rnacentral:rRNA from 1 species
UACGGGGGGAGCAAACGUUGUUCGGAAUCACUGGGCGUAAAGGGCGCGUAGGCGGCCAGAUAAGUGGGGUGUUAAAUCUCCCGGCUCAACCGGGAACCUGCACCUCAUACUGCCUGGCUUGAGUACAGCAGAUGAGACUGGAAUUCCCGGUGUAGCGGUGAAAUGCGCAGAUAUCGGGAGGAACACCUAUGGCGAAGGCAGCUCGCUGGGACGUUACUGACGCUGAGACGCGAAAGCGUGGGGAGCAAACAGG